rnacentral:rRNA from 1 species
CACGUAGGGGGCGAGCGUUGUCCGGAUUUAUUGGGCGUAAAGAGCUCGUAGGCGGUUCGGCAAGUCGGGUGUGAAAUUUCGAGGCUCAACCUCGAAACGCCACUCGAUACUGCUGUGACUGGAGUCCGGUAGAGGAGAAUGGAAUUCCUGGUGUAGCGGUGAAAUGCGCAGAUAUCAGGAAGAACACCCGUGGCGAAGGCGGUUCUCUGGGACGGUACUGACGCUGAGACGCGAAAGCGUGGGGAGCGAACAGG